UACAGAGGUCUCAAGCGUUGUUCGGAUUCAUUGGGCGUAAAGGGUGUGUAGGUGGCGCCGUAAGUCGGGUGUGAAAUUUCGGAGCUUAACUCCGAGACUGCAUUCGAUACUGCGGUGCUUGAGGACUGGAGAGGAGACUGGAAUUCAUGGUGUAGCAGUGAAAUGCGUAGAGAUCAUGAGGAAGACCAGUGGCGAAGGCGGGUCUCUGGACAGUUCCUGACACUGAGACACGAAGGCCAGGGGAGCAAACGGG
rnacentral:rRNA from 1 species